AUGCGAGGUUUUCUACUCAGGCUGCUUGAGAAGCAAAUUUUUCCAUUGUGUAUAUGCAGAAAAUGCUCUGCAAAUCCAUGAACACAGAAGGCUGCUUAUCUAUUUUACUGGAGCUAAAAAUGUUCUACAGCCACAUCCUUGACCUUGGAGAUCUCUAAGCUCAGAGGCCCUUGGAGAUCUUUCCACAGGAUCUCCUGCCCCAGUUUCAGAAUAGUGGGAGUCAGGGGAGACUGGAACAGAGAUGACAAUUGCAGCUGGGCAGGAAGGCCCUGAGGGCACUUAGCAGUCACCCUGGAGUUGUAAAUGGCAGAGCCUCGCCAGCUACAGACCCGCCAGCCAGUUGCACUGCAUACAUCAAAGGCUCGAGAUGCCCGGCUGUGGGUUUAAAUGGAGCCCAGGUGUAGCCUGCAAACUCCCUCUCUUCUCCCCCACUGAGCUACACCUCCACUUUACACGCUGAGCUUGGCAACCUCAGCACGACCAGGGCUGUGGGGUCAGAGUUGCUCUCAGCCUUGCCAGCUAGGAACGCUCAGUUAGGCUUGGUGAUUAGAACCCACCCUAUGAAUAGAGCAGAGAUGCUGUGUUAGACCAACUACUGUUCCAGAAUCAAGUGAUUCAGAUCAUGUGUGUAAGCAAAUAAAAAGUUCAAUGUUGUGUAUUGAGAAAAAACUUAAGGCAGGUGAGUCCGUAGAUGGGCACACAAGUUAUAGAUGUAAUUCUAGAAAUAAUCCUACAGUACAUGUUAUUUUGAACUGAAAAUGUGUUCCUUCUCUUUAGAAACUAUUACCUGUUGAAAUACAAUGUAAUAUUUAGCAAUGCACCUCUGUCACCUACCUCCAUGGUCCCUUUUACAGUCUUUAUUCUGUUCAGUGGCCAAGGGCCAAGGACUCCCUGUGAUGCCAGCCUCUGGGCACCAGAAUGGAACUACUCAAAAGGGCAACAGCAGCCCCGCAGGCCUCCCCAUCCUCCCACCCAGUGUAGGCUCAGUAAUAACUGAGUCUCCAUAGCUACAAUGCCUUGAACCAGAUUUUAAAACAAACAAACCAUGCAUGAAAUUGAUACAAAAAAUAAAAUGCUGCUUAAGUCUG
rnacentral:lncRNA from 1 species